CUGCUGCCUCCCGUAGGAGUCUGGUCCGUGUCUCAGUACCAGUGUGGUGGGCCUUCCUCUCAGAACCCCUACGCAUCGUCGCCUCGGUGGGCCGUUACCCCGCCGACUAGCUAAUGCGCCGCAUGCCCAUCCGUGGCCGGGAUUGCUCCCUUUGGCGGCCUUGGGAUGUCCCUAGGCCGCGUUACGCGGUAUUAGACGGGGUUUCCCCCGCUUAUCCCCCUGCCACGGGCAGGUUGCAUACGUGUUACUCACCCGUGCGCCGGUCGCCGG
rnacentral:rRNA from 1 species